rnacentral:ncRNA from 1 species
UAAAAAGCGAUGACCGUGUACAGUAGAGUACCAUUUCCUAUCAGAGAGAGAAAAUCACUGGCUGCAAGUUUUCUUUAGUUCAAAUGGCAAUUGAAAUUCCCACGAUAGCUGCAGGCUUGAAGUAAAAGUAGAGACUGCCGUAUGUUGUACGUUACACAUAACUUAAGAGCCUGUGAUACAGCUGCAGGAAUUAGGGUGGUACCGCGAAUGUUGAACUUCGUCCCUUUG